UGCCAAAUGGUUUAGUGGUUUGAGUGCUGGACUUCAACUCCAGGAGUCCAGGGUUCGAAUCCCCGUUAGUCAA